GCGUAACCUGCGGAGGGAUCAUUACACAAAUAUGAAGGCGGGCUGGAACCUCUCGGGGUUACAGCCUUGCUGAAUUAUUCACCCUUGUCUUUUGCGUACUUCUUGUUUCCUUGGUGGGUUCGCCCACCACUAGGACAAACAUAAACCUUUUGUAAUUGCAAUCAGCGUCAGUAACAAAUUAAUAAUUACAACUUUCAACAACGGAUCUCUUGGUUCUGGCAUCGAUGAAGAACGCAGCGAAAUGCGAUAAGUAGUGUGAAUUGCAGAAUUCAGUGAAUCAUCGAAUCUUUGAACGCACAUUGCGCCCUUUGGUAUUCCAAAGGGCAUGCCUGUUCGAGCGUCAUUUGUACCCUCAAGCUUUGCUUGGUGUUGGGCGUCUUGUCUCUAGCUUUGCUGGAGACUCGCCUUAAAGUAAUUGGCAGCCGGCCUACUGGUUUCGGAGCGCAGCACAAGUCGCACUCUCUAUCAGCAAAGGUCUAGCAUCCACUAAGCCUUUUUUUCAACUUUGACCUCGGAUCAGUAGGAUCCCGUCCC
rnacentral:rRNA from 1 species